rnacentral:rRNA from 1 species
UACGGAGGGUGCAAGCGUUAAUCGGAAUUACUGGGCGUAAAGCGCACGCAGGCGGUCUGUCAAGUCGGAUGUGAAAUCCCCGGGCUCAACCUGGGAACUGCAUUCGAAACUGGCAGGCUAGAGUCUUGUAGAGGGGGGUAGAAUUCCAGGUGUAGCGGUGCAAUGCGUAGAGAUCUGGAGGAAUACCGGUGGCGAAGGCGGCCCCCUGGACAAAGACUGACGCUCAGGUGCGAAAGCGUGGGGAGCAAACAGGAUUAGAUACCCUGGUAGUACACGCCGGAAACGAUGUCGAUUUGGAGGUUGUGCCCUUGAGGCGUGGCUUCCGGAGCUAACGCGUUAAAUCGACCGCCUGGGGAGUACGGCCGCAAGGUUAAA